CGUUUAGAUUUACGCAUCUUAUCAAUCAGCGUUAUAUAUAAGCAUUACGUCAUAACGAUAUAAUCGCCCUAAUUAGAAAACUUUCAAAAGUGGACGAGAAUGUUUGGUUUGACAGUUCGGUUUUAUCUUAUCACGCGAGUAUAAUCCAAAACUUACAUUGUGACAAUUGUUAGAAAUACCAAAGAGGAAAUCUUUAAGAAUACGAAAAGUAUGUCGCGCGCUCGAAAUUAUGAGUUUUAUUCAGGAAAUUAAAUAAGCCGGACUGCGAGGUGCACAGGUCAAGGAACAACGUGCAACAGUGGAUUUCCUGUUCGGGAAGGUCGGUCCCUUUGGCCUACUCAUUAGGGAUCAUCGGACGUCGCCUCGAGGUUUCGACUGUCGAAUUCGUUGACGAGGAAUUCUCGGUGACACUUUUAUUGUAACUCUAAUGCCCACGUUCGGUCCAACAACGUGGAUCGACGAAGAGUCGCCAAAUCGACAGACGUUGAUUUAUAAAUCGGACAUUUCGCAAAUUCAACGUUAACACCCAGAGGGGAGAGCAAGGAGAGGGAGAAAAUAGCGGUACGAUUGACGGUAUGACCCACGAUGAGCAUGCAUUACGAGGACCCAAAUUCGAGACAGGAAGACCUGCCUUCCGGAAUUCCUGGACCGGAGAACGCAAACACGAAGGCGGCACCUAAAGUUUCGGAGCACGGGAAGCGCUAAACAAGGUGAGGCAAGGACGUCGAAACGUUCAUUCGAAAGUUGCUGAAUCGAUUUCAGUCAUACUUGAACAAUUAAAUAUAGCACUAGCCUCGCCACUGAUUUCCAAUCAUUAUUCUAUUCUUGUAACAAGCUAGACAUUCCACGCUUGUGAAAGCCCUUCGUACGUAUAAUUAUGGAUUACACCUUAUA